GACGUAGGAUGCAAGCGUUGUCCGGAAUUAUUGGGCGUAAAGAGUUCGUAGGCGGUUAUUUAAGUCUGGUGUUAAAGACGGGAGCUUAACUCCCGCAUGGCACUGGAAACUGGAUGGCUAGAGUGUGGUAGAGGUCUCGGGGAUUCCAGGUGUAGCGGUGAAAUGCGUAGAUAUCUGGAGGAACACCGGUGGCGAAAGCGCGAGACUGGGCCAUAACUGACGCUGAGGAACGAAAGCCAGGGGAGCAAAAGGG
rnacentral:rRNA from 1 species